rnacentral:rRNA from 1 species
GAUGAACGCUAGCGGCAGGCUUAAUACAUGCAAGUCGAGGGGCAUCACGGUAGCAAUACUGGUGGCGACCGGCAAACGGGUGCGGAACACGUACGCAACCUUCCCGGAACAGGUGAAUAGCCCUGCGAAAGUAGGAUUAAUACACCGUAUGAUAUUUUUGUGGCAUCACUUGAAUAUUAAAGGUAGCAAUACCGGUUCUGGAUGGGCGUGCGCCUGAUUAGGUAGUUGGGUGGGUAAUGGCCCACCAAGCCUUCGAUCAGUAACUGGUGUGAGAGCACGACCAGUCACACGGGCACUGAGACACGGGCCCGACUCCUACGGGAGGCAGCAGUAAGGAAUAUUGGUCAAUGGACGAAAGUCUGAACCAGCCAUGCCGCGUGAAGGAUGACUGCCCUCUGGGUUNUAAACUUCUUUUAUCUGGGAACGAAAAAGGGUCUUUUUAGCUCACUUGACGGUACCAGAGGAAUAAGCACCGGCUAACUCCGUGCCAGCAGCCGCAGUAA